rnacentral:lncRNA from 1 species
UGACAGGGCUCACCGUUCACAAUAGGCUACUUCUGUCCACUCGACUGUAGAGGCUUUAGUGAACUAUUCUUCACAACCUGGGUCCAAUUGCUUGCUGGGAAGCUGAACCAUCCUGUUAGGCCCAUAUAUCAUCUCUCUCUCUCUCUCUCUCUCUCUCUCUCUCUUACCUUCCUACCUAUCAUUUACUACUUAUGUUAACUAUCUUUAACAUGAGAUCUAUUUAUCUCUUUAUCUUCUUGUCUGUCUGUCCAUUGACCCAUCCAUACGUCCACUGGGAUAUGUGCUAUGAUUUGUUGAGCUGGUUGGGACCCUUGAGCCCCUUCAAUGUCCUCAGGGAGCUUGCUGCUGUUGGGUGAUCCAUGGAGCUAUGCUAUGGUGGACCGUUACCCCUCAGGAACACCUGGCAAGUGACACCUGCUGGUCCUGGCUUUACUGCUCUUCUCUCCAGAACCAUGGCUGGGAGGAAAGAACCAGCUAUGGAGUAGGGCAGCUGCCUGCCUCUCUGAUCUGAACAAGCAAGAUCAGCAUUCUCAGAAAGCAACAAAGUGAGACAAUACUUUUCUCUGGAUCAGGGAUAGGACAAGCCUACAGGAUAGCCCAUGCUAUAAGAUGAUAUAAGAGGCCACAAGUGGAAAGUGGAAACAUACAACGUGGGAAAACUCUGUUAAUUACAGUCGAAGUCCAUGUGACCGGAUACCUUCUGGGCUUGGCGCACUUAUGGGAAACUCCCUUUGUUAAUGGGUUUUCUCCUUCUCUGACCUUGCGUGGGAAAUUCUAAGCCCCCACAUGAACUCUUCUCCCUAAGGAUGCCAUGUAGUCUCACUUAGUUUAUAGGAUCAAUUCCCUUUCUCCUGAUAAAACCCAUUCAGCAAUCGCCUAAGGUACCUGAAAUGCUUCCCAAAGCUAAUGAGGCAUUCUAGGUACCCUCAGCCCCGAGCCAAUGACCUUUGCUCACCCUUGAUGUCCUUACCCUUAUUCCCCCAAAACUUUAUAAGGCUACAGGGAAGGGCACCAAAACAUACCCAUUUCCAAGGGCUGAACUCUGGAGGCCUGAGGUCCACCCUACUUACUCACCCUUUCAACUUAAAGCCCUUGUAAUCUUAAGAAAAAAAAAAGACAUAAAAAAAUAAAACAAAUAAUGGUAAAACAAAAACAAUAAAAACAUUUGAAGAAGCAAGGACCAGUGGACAUUGCUGUGCUACCAUGACCACAUCUGCCACAGGACUGUAUGAGGUGAGGCCUAGAGAGUAGGUGGGGAAAUGCUAUUCUUCCUGAUGCUACCUUCCUACAUACAGCAACCACUAACCGUGGACGAAGGGCUGGCAAUUUGUGUCGUGAAGAUAAAGGAAGUUCAGGUCUUAACUCUGCCUGCUGGGGAAUUUGAGGUGAACAGAGAUGACUAUGGGUGCUAUCUCUUUAGAUUUUCUUUGACCAUGGAAGUGGGAACUCCAAAAGAGCUAAUAAGGAAGGACAUUUAGCUCAGUGCUGGUCUUGGGAGUUUGACCUGUUGCUGUCCCAUUAAUUUGAUGGGGGUCUGUUU